GUAGGAUGCCAGAGGAGUAAGAGAUCCGGACCCUUUUUCCGGGAGAAGAGAAGAAAAACAGAACAGCCCAGGAAAGACACUUUGUGCUUGAGAACAACAAGGACAUAAAUUAUUUCCCAUCAAGGAAUGCCAGCCGAAAGCCACAGAUCUAGAGACACAAAGACCACCAAACAUCUGUGCCUCCUCAGUAAAGGAUCUGCAGAGAUGCCAGAGUUCCAAACAGCCAGGACUGUGAUGGAGCAACCAGCUACUCCAGGACAUGGCAACACCCCAGCUUUCUCAGAUCCCCUGAAGAUGGUCAAUGCCCCCCAGGUCAACAGGAAGCAGUCUUGAGAACUGGAUGCCCUUAUUCCCUAACUUGCCACGCCCAUAUCCCCACCCUUUUAAAAAUAAUAAUAAGAGGACUACCUGCCCAGGGGUGCCAGCGUCCACAAUAGGCUGGGUUCUUCCACAUCAAUCAUCAAUCAAGAAAACCCCCCUAAAGAUUUGCCUACAUGCCAAUCUGAUGGAGGCCACUUUUCAGUUGAGGUUCCCUCCUCCCAGAUGCUACAGUACCAGAGUAAGUCACCAUCCCUAGACUGCUUCGCCACUUGAGGACUCUCUUGUGGCUAAGAGAUGCUUUGGGAGCUUAGAAGAUACCGAAAGAGACUUGCCUUCAUCAAAAAAAGGUCACAAUUCCAAGCCAUGCAGGGCACGCCACCUCUGGUGCUAUUCUCCAACUCCAUUCUCUAGAAUGAAGAGGAAGAAGCUUGGUUGUUAGAAGCUGCCAUAAGGUGCCUGGCUACAGAAGCCCCAGCACACUCAGAUUCUCAGCUGGGCAGAGCCUUGUCCAAGGAAGCUGCAACAGAACAUGGCAGUGUUGACAUUCAGACCCAGUUCCCACACUGUCCCCCAGAGCCCAUGCUUAUAGCUUGCUGAAAGCUCACUGCUCUGCUUUUCACUGGGUGGUUAUAUUCCUGGGGGUAGCUUCUGGAAUCCGGCAUUGCCUAGUCAGCCUCAGUUAGCCAGACUACACAUCUUAGUCCUAAUGAACACUGCCUUAAAGGAGAGGCACUUUAUUAUUUCCAUUAUUUUGUUGAUUCUGUUUUUCUGAGAUAGGAUUUUGCUGUGUAGAUUUGACUAUCCUGGA